AGUGAACGCUGGCGGUAGGCCUAACACAUGCAAGUCGAACGGCAGCACAGUAAGAGCUUGCUCUUACGGGUGGCGAGUGGCGGACGGGUGAGGAAUACAUCGGAAUCUACUUUUUCGUGGGGGAUAACGUAGGGAAACUUACGCUAAUACCGCAUACGACCUACGGGUGAAAGCAGGGGAUCUUCGGACCUUGCGCGAUUGAAUGAGCCGAUGUCGGAUUAGCUAGUUGGCGGGGUAAAGGCCCACCAAGGCGACGAUCCGUAGCUGGUCUGAGAGGAUGAUCAGCCACACCGGAAAUAAGACACGGUCCAGACUCCUACGGGAGGCAGCAGUGGGGAAUAUUGGACAAUGGGCGCAAGCCUGAUCCAGACACACCGCGUGGGUGAGGAAGGCCUUCGGGUUGUAAAGCCCUUUUGUUGGGAAAGAAAAGCAGCAGGUUAAGACCCCGCUGUUCUGACGGUACCCAAAGAAUAAGCCCCGGCUAACUUCGUG
rnacentral:rRNA from 1 species